rnacentral:rRNA from 1 species
AUCGAUGAAGAACGCAGCGAAAUGCGAUAAGUAAUGUGAAUUGCAGAAUUCAGUGAAUCAUCGAAUCUUUGAACGCAACUUGCGCUCUCUGGUAUUCCGGAGAGCAUGCCUGUUUGAGUAUCAUGAAAUCUCAACCAUUAGGGUUUCUUAAUGGCUUGGAAUUGGGUGUUGCCAGUCGCCUGGCUCGCCUUAAAAGAGUUAGCGUGUUUAACUUGUCUAUCUGGCGUAAUAAGUUUCGCUGGUGUCGGCUUGAGAAGUACGCUUCUAAUCGUCUUCGGACAAUUCUUGAACUCUGGUCUCAAAUCAGGUAGGGCUACCCGCUGAACUUAAGCAUAUCAAUAAGCGGAGGAAAAGAAACUAACAAGGAUUCCCUUAGUAACGGCGAGUGAACCGGGAAAAGCUCAAAUUUGUAAUCUGGCUGUCUUCGAUAGUCCGAGUUGUAAUCUAUAGACGUGUUUUCCGUGCUGGACCGUAUCUAAGUCCCUUGGAACAGGGUAUCAAAGAGGGUGACAAUCCCGUGCUUGAUACGACCACCAGUGCUCUGUGAUACACGCUCUACGAGUCGAGUUGUUUGGGAAUGCAGCUCAAAAUGGGUGGUAAAUUCCAUCUAAAGCUAAAUAUUGGCGAGAGACCGAUAGCGAACAAGUACCGUGAGGGAAAGAUGAAAAGCACUUUGGAAAGAGAGUUAAACAGUACGUGAAAUUGUUGAAAGGGAAACGAUUGAAGUCAGUCGUGUUCUUUGGAUUCAGCUAGUUCUUCUAGUCUACUUCCUUUGAACGGGUCAACAUCAGUUUUGUCCGGUGGAUAAAGGUAGUAGGAAUGUAGCUCCCUCGGGAGUGUUAUAGACUAUUAUUGCAUGCACUGGGUGAGACUGAGGACUGCAGCUCGCCUUUUGGCCGGCCUUCGGGUACGUUCGAGCUUAGGAUGUUGACAUAAUGGCUUUAAACGACCCGUCUUGAAACACGG